rnacentral:lncRNA from 1 species
CUCAAGCAAGGCCAAUCAAAUCCUUCCCUGAGAGAUUUUUUUUUUUUCAGCUGGAGUUGGAGGAGGGCCCUGCACCUGGGGGAUGGAUCAGGAAGAAUUUGAAGUUGGAGAGGGUGGUGGCCUUGUUUUCAGCCACCCAGAGAAAGCCUGUCUGCUCUGCAAGACAAUGAGUCAAGAAGAUACAGGCAAAGCAAAGAGAAGGAGGGCUCUGGUCUUGUUUCUCGUCCCUAAAAGGACACAUAAAAAUGAACUCUGAAUGGCUCAAGAGGAUUAGGGAAAAUAGGACAAUUGAGAGAAUCCAAAUGGUAAGUGACUCAUUGAAAAUACUCAGUGCAAUAGAGAUACCAACAUGAGACACUUUUUCCCACUCAUUGCUGUGCACUGUGGUGUCUGCCUUUCUCAACCUUUACAUGAUCUUGACAGAUUCUAUAACUUUCUGGCCACUUCUGAUGUUUAAACACAGCCAGGUCCCGUUAAAAACACCAAUCCUCUAAGUAACACCAUGGCUUAUUCUUUGCCAUUGCCGUCUAGACUUGUGGCUCAAAGGACCUGGAUGGAGGGAGAGCAUGUGCUUCCCUUUCCCUUCUUCUUCCUCCCUCGUCUGUCUUUAGUUUGUCUACACUGGGGAAGUAGAGAGAGAUGAGAAGCAGGGGUCAACUUACAUGACUCUCAUGUGGUACUGUGGCCUUGAUUUCUCUCUGGUUUAACCUGGUGCUAUCUGAAGCUUGAGGUCUUUUCUGAUGUGGCUGUCUCUGUGUAGACAGUGGAUGUGGUUUCCUUGGGGGUAGUGCUCAGUUUCAUUCUAUUUCCAUUGCUGAAGACUCUUCAGGGGUGGCCCUGUCUCUUAUCAACCAGACCAGAAGUUCAGGUCCCUGCUGCCCUUUCUGAAGGAGUGUCUCCUCUGUUCGUUUGGGGAACGGUGGUUCCUGCUCCCUCUCCUAACCUUCACACUCCUUCCGCGGGGGUGGAGGUGCCCCCUCUUCUUUUCACUAGGCACUCUUCAUCUGACCCUCUUCUAAGCCUCCUACCCCAAGCAAGAGGAGGCUGUUCACAUGUGCUCCUCAUCUUCAGGAGACAUUUACACAUUCUCCCAAGCAUUCUCUAAAUAUGUUUCUCUCCACCUGUUGCCAGCAUUAGAGAGCCUAGGAGGGCGAUGAAGUCUUCCUGUUGACAUCCCCAAUCUUCACAUGUUACUUUCCUGACCCUGUUCCCCAUUGGAGUGAAGAGAAGAAAGCACCCCUGUCUCUCCACCCUUUGUGGGAAGGGAAGAGAUUUAUUUUCUCGGGGGACCCUGUACUCCUCAUAAAGCCACGUAGCUCUCUCCACUGAUUUCCAUUUCAUUUUUUCUCCCAGUGCUUUCCUUUAAGUAUUGUCCAGGGGUGGGGCUGGUGAUCGAUUAUAGAGUGGUCAUUUCUGCUGCCUCUUAAUAAGCCCUGUCAUCUUUUUAGAAUGUGGAGAUUAUUAGCACUACCUCAUCUUCAUGUAAUGCCUGGUAAACAUCCUGUUACAAUUAUUUGUAAAGUGUUUUGCCACCUCUAUACCAAAAGGCAUGAAGGAAGAGUUCAUUAGUCAAUGGCUCACGUCAUUUUUCCUGAUGGGUUUGGGUGUCAGAUAGGCUAUGGUAGUCUACACAGAUAUCUACAGGUGGGCAGGACGAGAAGUCUGAAAAAUGCCGAAUAAGACGUUCACCCUCAGGGCACAUACCUUACUUCAGGCCAGUGUGCAAAUGUUAUUGGGGAGAGACUCUAUAGGUUGGAAGAAAUAUCCUCACCUGUGAAGUGCCACCAAUGUGAAAACACAGGCUCAAUUCACCAGCUUUCCCCAUUUAUUGCCUGUGUGAUCCAUGGCAAUCACUUUUGUGAACUCAACCUCUUUUUCCUCAUCUGCAACAUGGGACACUACUAUUGACAUUACUGUGUGGAUUAGAGCUGCACCAUGUAGAGUUUCAGAAUGAGAGCCCAAAAAACACUAAGUAUUAGUCUUGUUUCUGUUCCUUUUCUCCAUAGCAAAGACAAUCUCCCUUUCCCUAUUCACCUAGGAAAGAGCCCAGACUCUCUAACUGCUUUAUUUCUUGAAACGAAUAGGUUUAGGACUCCCUUCCCUCCCUUUGUUCUCACCAGGGAGGAAGGGGAGUUGGACUGAUGAAGGUAAAAUGUCCUGGAGCUGAAGUAGAUACUAUUGGUGUAGCUGACCAGGCCUCAGCAGUUCCUGUGGGGUCAUGUCCUUGCUAUCCUCCCAUUCUCUUUGGGGAACUGCCCACCCUCCACCUGACACCUACAGCUCUAUGAAGUUCCAGUAAAAGCUACCAUUCCUGAUGCCCCACAUCCUUGACCUGAUGGGGCCAAUCAUGGUGCCUCCCUCCCUGGCAACAGUGACUGGUCUUGAAAUGGGCAAAUCAGGGCCUUUUCUCAGAUAUAUCUAAUUGGAGCUUUCUUUCUUGGAUGAUGAAGUUGAGAGAAUACGUGUCCAGAGCUUCUGGGGAACAUGAUUUCAGCUUCAAGAAAGGAAAUGAGGCCUCCUAGCAGAAAGCAAAGACAUGAGAAGAGAAGGGAUAAUGAACUGCUGUUGAGUCCCUGGUUCCAGGUGACCUUGCCUGCCUGUGAUGUGGUUCUUGUAUGCAGUGUUUCCUGAGAUCACCUCCCAAACAAUUGCAUCUGGAAUCCUUCACUCAUGUCUACUUCUGGGAGAAGCAUCUAAGACAGUCAUGGUCCAUAAAACAGCAGCAACAUGAACAAAGACACAGGGCUCAACUGUACCAGGCAAAUGAAGGGAGAUGGAGAGAUUGAAGCAAGAGCUAAAACUAUCCACCAGACUGCAGUCCAUUGUGAGUAGGUUGAGAGGAAAUUGAGCUGCCAAGACAUAUGAAACUCCUGGUGGAGAUUUGGAGGAAGAUGAAUGGUACUUAAGUAACAAGAAGACCGUGAAAUCAAACCAUUAAAAGACAAUUUCAAGACUAGUCACUUCCCUCACCUUCUAUUCACUGUGAUAAAGCCCCCAAAAGUCAUUGGAUGCUUCCUUUGAUGUUGCUUCAGCUGGUGUGUUGACUUUGUUAGCACUCUCUAUUGGGCAUAGAGGUGCUCCUUACAAAUGCUCUCUAGGAGUAAAUGGGCAUGAGGAGGCUCCAUCACCUUCUUCCUAUUUUCUCUGUUGUUUUCCAGCCUUGGGGACAAAGCUGGGAUUCUUAGGGCCGAAGUCAUCAAGGUUGCCUGCAGGUGUGCCUAGAAGAGAUAUGGUUUCAGCAAGCCUUCUUCUCUCUGAUUUCUAAAAGGUUUUUUCAUCUAAUCUGAGGUCCCUGUCACUUUCUACCCUACCUCAUCCCAGAAUUGAGGUCAGAAUGGACUUGUGUGGGAUUUUGGCCCAUGUAGCAGUGUGCCUUUAAAUCUGGUGCUGGCAGUGGUAGCGGUGAUGGUGGGUGUCACCUAGGAUGGCAUAAAUUUCUCCUUCUGUGCCCAAAGCCCACCUUUCCAUUCUUUAGUUUUUAGUUUAAAAUUUAACUCUAAUCAUACAAAUUACAGGAAAGUACAUUCUUCUUGUGAGAAGUUAAAUCAAAACACAACUGAUAAAGUUAAAGACCUCUUUGACCAACAGUUCUUACCCCCUGGCAGCCCCAGAGGUAACACCUACUGCAGGGAAGGUGUGUAUUCCUCCAGUU